rnacentral:rRNA from 1 species
AAUGCCAGUCUCAGAGAACAAUAUCUAGCCUUAUAUAACAUCGCCCGCGAUAAGAAUACUACUAUUACGCACGUGCUCGGUUCUUCCCCGCCGAAUAUUUCUUUCAGGCGGGAUUUGAUUGGCCCCCGACUUGUGUCAUAGCAUAAUCUUUUAUCCGGGCUGGAUUCGAUUAACCCAACACAAUGUCGGGAUGUGUUUCGCUAAAACCUUAUUACAUCAGGGUCUUUCACAGUAGACUCUAUGUACCAUGCACACACGCAUUCUGAGGUACCAACAAGUAAUAAUAAGAAAAUUUGGAAGUCUAAAAUUUCAGUAGAAGUGAAAAUCUUUAUGUGUUAUCUUCGUAGGAGAGUUGUGUUAACCAAAAACACCUCGCACGGCGCAAUUGGUGAGGGAGUAAGAAGUGUUCUUUUUGUACUCAUGACGAGACAAUCAAACACCUCUUUUUUCAAUGCAAGUUUGUACGUUUUAUUUUUAUCAUUGGUUGGACAGUAUUACAAAUAG